rnacentral:rRNA from 1 species
GACGAACGCUGGCGGCGUGCUUAACACAUGCAAGUCGAACGGAAAGGCCCUGCUUUUGUGGGGUGCUCGAGUGGCGAACGGGUGAGUAACACGUGAGUAACCUGCCCUUGACUUUGGGAUAACUUCAUGAAACUGGGGCUAAUACCGGAUAGUAGCUCCUGCUGCCUGGUGGGGGUUGGAAAGUUUCGGCGGUUGGGGAUGGACUCGCGGCUUAUCAGCUUGUUGGUGGGGUAGUGGCUUACCAAGGCUUUGACGGGUAGCCGGCCUGAUAGGGUGACCGGCCACAGUGGGAAUGAGAUGCGGCACAGACUCAUACGGGAGGAAGAAGUGGGGAAUAUUGCAAAAUGGGCGGAAGCCUGAUGCAGCAACGCCGCGGGCGGGAUGACGGACUUCGGGUUGUAAACCGUGUUCGCCUGUGACGAAGCGUGAGUGAAGGUAAUGGGUAAAGAAGAACCGGAUAACUACGUG